rnacentral:ncRNA from 1 species
GACAGGUAUGGUCCCUGCUUUUACAUCAGCCCUAGUUUAACUUACACAUGCAAGUAUCCGCACCCCAGUGAGAAUGCCCUCAACACCCAGCCGGAACAGAGGAGCGGGCAUCAGGCACGCACAUGCAGCCCAAGACGCCUUGCUACGCCACACCCCCAAGGGUACUCAGCAGUGACUAAUAUUAAACAUAAGCGAAAGCUUGAUUUAGUUAAAACUAAGAGGGUCGGUAAAACUCGUGCCAGCCACCGCGGUUAUACGAGAGACCCAAGUUGAUACUCACGGCGUAAAGCGUGAUUAUAGGCCGACAAACAACUAAAGCCAAAACCCCUCAAAGCCGUCAUACGCACAUCGAGGGCCGUAAGACCUAAAACGAAAGUAGCUUUAACACAACAAACCUAGACCACACGACAGCUAGGACACAAACUGGGAUUAGAUACCCCACUAUGCCUAGUCGUAAACUUUGAUGAUAAACUACAAAUAUCAUCCGCCAGGGAACUACAAGCGCAUCGCUCGAAACCCAACGGACUUGGCGGUGCCCCACACCCACCUAGAGGAGCCUGUUCUAUAACUGACAAUCCCCGUUCAACCUCACCACUCCUAGCCUUUUCAGUCUAUAUACCACCGUCGUAAGCUCACCCUGUGAAGGAUCAACAGUAAGCAAAAUGGGCAAACCCCAGAACGUCAGGUCGAGGUGUAGCACACGGAGUGGGAAGAAAUGGGCUACAUUUUCUGCCUACAGAAUAUCAACGGACAACGUCAUGAAACCUGCCGUUCAAAGGAGGAUUUAGCAGUAAAAAGAAAAUAGAGAGUUCUUUUGAAGCCGGCCCUGGGGCGCGCACACACCGCCCGUCACUCUCCACUACAAUUAUUCUCCACAGGAAAAUAAUCAACCAGCCCAAAAACUAAAUAAUAUAACAAUUGGUUCUCCCAGUGGAGACAAGUCGUAACACGGUAAGUGUACCGGAAGGUGCACUUGGAACAAC